rnacentral:lncRNA from 1 species
GGGGAGAGGGGGAAAGAAGGGGGAAAGAGGAAAAGGACCAAACUCAUGAGUUGAGUUAAAGAGAGUUUAAUAGAAAUAAUACCAGAGAAGGAAAAAUAACGAUAACAAUGAGAGGGGUCACUCACCGCCCGGUGAAUCGGCGCCGUCCCGAGCAGCCACUGCGUGUUCCCACCCCCCUUUCCCAUCCCGAGCGUGACGCCCGCGGCAGGGACAUCCCUCUGGCCACCCCAUCCUUCUGCGGGAAGCUGAAAGAAAUGUCCUCGAAAAGUAUAAACAUCGCUUAGCAACAACUACAGCAAUACGCGUUACUGGCGUUCCUCUCACAGUUAGAGCUAUCGCUGGAGAGAAAAUGAACGGUUUCCCAGCUGAAACCAGGACACGGGGACAGGACUCGGGGACAGGACUCGGGGACAGGGCGCUGUUUUCCAGCAGUCCUGGUUGGUGGCAGCAGGCAGACACGGCCAGGUGGCACGGCACGACCCUUCCAGCGCCCCGAGAUGUGGGUCCUGGGGGAGCGUAGGGGGAGACAUCCACCCUGUGAAGCUCUGGCUCCCCUGGGAAAUGCCACCGGCUGAUGUGGGGCUCAGCAGCACCCCGUUAGCGGGAGGGGGGGGGGACAGGGGCACAGAGCCCCCCAGGGCUGGGGCCAUUCCCCUCUCGGGCCUGGCUGCUGCUCCCGCCCCCGGCCCCCUCCCUCAGUGGGGGCUGCGGCACACGCUGCUGCCCACAGCACACCCCAGUGGUCCCCAGUGCUCCCAGUAUACCCCAGGGCACACCAGUGGUCCCAGUGCUCCCAGCACACACCAGUGCUCCCUACACACUCCAGUGCAACCUCAGUGCUCCCAGCACACCUCAGUGCACCCCAAUGGUACCAGUGCAACCCAGUACAAGCCCAGUGCUCCCAGUGCAGCCCAAUGCUCCCAGUAGACUCCAGUGCACCCCAGUGCUCCUCAGUUCUCCCAGUACCCUCCGGCACACCCCAGUACUCCCAGUGCAGCCCAAUGUUGCCUGUGCACCCCAGCACAACUCCAAUGCUCCCAGUAUGCUCCAGCACACCCCAGUGCAUCCUAGUGCACACCAGCUCACCCCAGUGCUCCCAGCACACCCCAGUGCUCCCAGUGCAGCCCAAUGCUCCCAGCACACCUCACCACUCCCAGUACACUCUGGCACACCCCAGUACUUCCAGUGCAGCCCAAUGUUGCCAGUGCACCCCAGUACAACCCCAAUGCUCCAGCAUACCCCAGUGCAUCCUAGUUCUCCCAGCGCACUCCAGCACACCCCAGUGCUCCCAGCACACCCCAGUGCUCCCAGUGCAGCCCAAUGCUCCCAGUAGACUCCAGUGCACCCCAGUGCACCUCAGUUCUCCCAGUACACUCCGGCACACCCCAGUACUCCCAGUGCAGCCCAAUGUUGCCAGUGCACCUCAGUACAAUCCCAGUGCUCCCAGUAUGCUCCAGCAUACCCCAGUGCAUCCUAGUUCUCCCAGCACACUCCAGUGCACCCCAGUGCUCCCAGCACACCUCAGUGCACCCCAAUGGUACCAGUGCACCCCAGUACAACCCCAGUGCUCCCAGUGCAGCCCAAUGCUCCCAGCACAUCUCACCACUCCCAGUACACCCCGGCACAUGCCGAUGGUGCCAGUGUACCCCAGUACAACCCCAGUGCUCCCAGUAUACUCCAGCAUACCCCAGUGCAUCCUAGUGCUCCCAGCUCACACUAGUGCUCCCAGUGCAGCCCAAUGCUCCCAGUAG